rnacentral:rRNA from 1 species
AUUGAACGCUGGCGGCAUGCCUUACACAUGCAAGUCGGACGGUAACGGGCCUUCGGGUGCCGACGAGUGGCGAACGGGUGAGUAAUACAUCGGAACGUGCCCGAUCGUGGGGGAUAACGAGGCGAAAGCUUUGCUAAUACCGCAUACGAUCUACGGAUGAAAGCAGGGGACCGCAAGGCCUUGCGCGGACGGAGCGGCCGAUGGCAGAUUAGGUAGUUGGUGGGAUAAAAGCUUACCAAGCCGACGAUCUGUAGCUGGUCUGAGAGGAUGAUCAGCCACACUGGGACUGAGACACGGCCCAGACUCCUACGGGAGGCAGCAGUGGGGAAUUUUGGACAAUGGGCGCAAGCCUGAUCCAGCCAUGCCGCGUGCAGGAUGAAGGCCUUCGGGUUGUAAACUGCUUUUGUACGGAACGAAAAGCCUUCUUUUAAUACAGGAGGGUCAUGACGGUACCGUAAGAAUAAGCACCGGCUAACUACG